GGCUAGCCGUAAACUUCCACUUACACCUAAUCGCCAGGGAACUACGAGCCAAGCUUAAAACCCAAAGGACUUGACGGUACCCCAUAUCCCCCUAGAGGAGCCUGUCCUAUAAUCGAUAAUCCACGUUUAACCUCACCAUUUUUAGUUAAUCAGCCUGUAUACCUCCGUCGUCAGCUUACCACGUGAGCGUCAAUUAGUGAGCCUAAUGUUAUUUCACCAAUACGUCAGGUCAAGGUGCAGCAAAUGAAAUGGAAAGAGAUGGGCUACACUUUCUACUUUAGAAGACAACGAAAAACUACAUAUGAAAACUAGUUAGAAGGCGGAUUUAGUAGUAAAAAGGAAUCAGCAUAUCCAUUUUAACCCGGCACUGGGGUGUGUACACACCGCCCGUCA
rnacentral:rRNA from 1 species